UUAAGCAUAUUAAUUAGGGGAGGAAAAGAAACUAACCAGGAUUUUCUUAGUAGCGGCGAGCGAAAAGAAAUCAGUUCAGCACUAAGUCACUUUGUCUAUAUGGCAAACGUGAGAUGCAGUGUAUGGAGCGUCAAUAUUCUAGUAUGAGAAAUUAACGAUUUAAGUCCUUCUUAAAUGAGGCCAUUUACCCAUAGAGGGUGCCAGGCCCGUAUAACGUUAAUGAUUACUAGAUGAUGUUUCCAAAGAGUCGUGUUGCUUGAUAGUGCAGCACUAAGUGGGUGGUAAACUCCAUCUAAAACUAAAUAUAACCAUGAGACCGAUAGUAAACAAGUACCGUGAGGGAAAGUUGAAAAGAACUCUGAAUAGAGAGUUAAACAGUACGUGAAACUGCUUAGAGGUUAAGCCCGAUGAACCUGAAUAUCCGUUAUGGAAAAUUCAUCAUUAAAGUUGUAAUAUUUUAACAAUAUUAUAAUAAUAGUGUGCAUUUUUUCCAUAUAAGGACAUUGUAAUCUAUUAGCAUAUAACAAAUUUAUCAUAAAAUAUGACUUAUAGUUUAUUCAAAUUAUUAUGCUUGCAUUUUAACAUAGAAUAAAUGUCAUUAAUUUGAUAAAGUGUUGAUAAAUUAAAAUUAAUACAGUGCGUUAAUUUUUCGAAAUUAUAUAAUGGCAUAAUUAUCAUUGAUUUUUGUGUUUAUUAUAUGCAUUUGUAUGAUUAACAAUGCGAAAGAUUCAGGAUACCUUCGGGACCCGUCUUGAAACACGGACCAAGGAGUCUAACAUAUGUGCAAGUUAUUGGGAGAUAAACCUAAUAGCGUAAUUAACUUGACUAAUAAUGGGAUUAGUUUUUUAACUAUUUAUAGAUAAUUAACACAAUCCCGGGGCGUUCUAUAUAGUUAUGUAUGAUAAUAUUUAUAUUAUUUAUGCCUCUAACUGGAACGUACCUUGAGCAUAUAUGCUGUGACCCGAAAGAUGGUGAACUAUACUUGAUCAGGUUGAAGUCAGGGGAAACCCUGAUGGAAGACCGAAACAGUUCUGACGUGCAAAUCGAUUGUCAGAAUUGAGUAUAGGGGCGAAAGACCAAUCGAACCAUCUAGUAGCUGGUUCCUUCCGAAGUUUCCCUCAGGAUAGCUGGUGCAUUUUAAUGUUAUAUAAAAUAAUCUUAUCUGGUAAAGCGAAUGAUUAGAGGCCUUAGGGUCGAAACGAUCUUAACCUAUUCUCAAACUUUAAAUGGGUAAGAACCUUAACUUUCUUGAUAUGAAGUUUAAGGUUAUGAUAUAAUGUGCCCAGUGGGCCACUUUUGGUAAGCAGAACUGGCGCUGUGGGAUGAACCAAACGUAAUGUUACGGUGCCCAAAUUAACAACUCAUGCAGAAACCAUGAAAGGCGUUGGUUGCUUAAAACAGCAGGACGGUGAUCAUGGAAGUCGAAAUCCGCUAAGGAGUGUGUAACAACUCACCUGCCGAAGCAACUAGCCUUAAAAUGGAUGGCGCUUAAGUUGUAUACCUAUACAUUACGCUAAAGUAGAUGAUUUAUAUUACUUGUGAUAUAAAUUUUGAAACUUUAGUGAGUAGGAAGGUACAAUGGUAUGCGUAGAAGUGUUUGGCGUAAGCCUUCAUGGAGCUGCCAUUGGCACAGAUCUUGGUGGUAGUAGCAAAUAAUCGAAUGAGACCUUGGAGGACUGAAGUGGAGAAGGGUUUCGUGUGAACAGUGGUUGAUCACGAGUUAGUCGGUCCUAAGUUCAAGGCGAAAGCCGAAAAUUUUCAAGUAAAAAAUCAGUGAGUAAUAUUGUCAAAUCUUUUAUGAUUUUUAAAUACUUGAAUAAUUUUGAACGAAAGGGAAUACGGUUCCAAUUCCGUAACCUGUUGAGUAUCCGUUUGUUAUUAAAUAUGGGCCUCGUGCUCAUCCUGGCAACAGGAACGACCAUAAAGAAGCCGUCGAGAGAUAUCGGAAGAGUUUUCUUUUCUGUUUUAUAGCCGUACUACCAUGGAAGUCUUUCGCAGAGAGAUAUGGUAGAUGGGCUAGAAGAGCAUGACAUAUACUGUUGUGUCGAUAUUUUCUCUCGGACCUUGAAAAUUUAUGGUGGGGACACGCAAACUUCUCAACAGGCCGUACCAAUAUCCGCAGCUGGUCUCCAAGGUGAAGAGUCUCUAGUCGAUAGAAUAAUGUAGGUAAGGGAAGUCGGCAAAUUAGAUCCGUAACUUCGGGAUAAGGAUUGGCUCUGAAGAUUGAGAUAGUCGGGCUUGAUUGGGAAACAAUAACAUUGUAAAUAGAGUUUCUAUCAUUUAUGGUAGUUACUUGUUCCCCGGAUAGUUUAGUUACGUAGCCAAUUGUGGAACUUUCUUGCUAAAAUUUUUAAGAAUACUAAUUGGGUUAAACCAGUUAGUUCUUAUUAAUUAUAACGAUUAUCAAUUAACAAUCAAUUCAGAACUGGCACGGACUUGGGGAAUCCGACUGUCUAAUUAAAACAAAGCAUUGUGAUGGCCCUAGCGGGUGUUGACACAAUGUGAUUUCUGCCCAGUGCUCUGAAUGUCAAAGUGAAGAAAUUCAAGUAAGCGGGGAAGAUAUGGGUCUGAAUAAUAGCGUAGAAGGGGAGUCAUUCCGUAAUUCGUAAAUCGUAAAAAUCAGAUCAAGUUGAUUCAAGACCUCCUCGUGGUAUCUUCUGGAUGCUAUUAGACUGAAGUUCUUUUGGUCUAAUAGUAACUAACUUGAACAGCGAAACAGUCCUAUGGGGUUGCCAGCCCCUUGGACAGUUCAGUUUGAUUGGCACUAAUAUGCAAAAUACAACGCCUCGGAUAAUAAACACUAAUUCGUUGACGAACCAAAUCCCUACGGUCUCUAGCCUAGGGGCCCAAUCUGAACAUAGUGCACAGGUUAACCCAAACAGUGGUUACCAAUGCACGAUAUGUGAAUCGUCUUUCCGUAGCAAAAGCGGACUAGGCGUUCACAUGUCACGUCGGCACAAGGACGAGUUUGAUCAACUUCGUCUGCGUACCGACCGUAAGGCACAAUGGAGUGAGGAAGAGUUGAGUAUGAUGGCAAGAAAAGAGAUCGAGCUCGCAGCAAAUGGAGAAAGAUAUCUAAAUAAGAAGCUAGCGGAAGUAUUUA
rnacentral:rRNA from 1 species